rnacentral:rRNA from 1 species
UACAGAGGUCUCAAGCGUUGUUCGGAUUCAUUGGGCGUAAAGGGUGCGUAGGCGGUUUGGCAAGUCUGAUGUGAAAUCUAUGGGCUCAACCCAUAGUCUGCAUCAGAAACUGCCGGGCUUGAGUAUGGGAGAGGUGAGUGGAAUUUCCGGUGUAGCGGUGAAAUGCGUAGAUAUCGGAAGGAACACCUGUGGCGAAAGCGGCUCACUGGACCAUUACUGACGCUGAGGAGCGAAAGCCAGGGGAGCAAACGGG